GCGGACGGUAUUCAGAGGCUAAUAAUACGCCGCUACGAUAUUAUUGCUCGAGAAUACCCUUUGC
rnacentral:pre_miRNA from 1 species